GCACUUCGGGAAGCCGAGGCGGGCAGAUCACCUGAGAUCAGGAGUUCGACACCAGCCCAGACAACAUGUGAAACCAUGUCUCUACUAAAAAUACAAAAAAAAUUAGCUGGGUAGGUAUAAUCCCAGCCACUCGGGAGGCUGGGGAGGCGGAGGCAGGAGAAUCGCUUGAACCUGAGAGGCAGAGGUUGCAGUGAACCAAGAUCACACCAUUGCACUCCAGCCUGGAUGACAGAGCAAGACUCCAUCUCAAUAAAUAGAUUGGCUCUGUUGUCUAUCAGCUUGCAUACUUUGAUGAAAUAAGCUUCCAUGUUGAAGAGGACCAGGUGGCAGUGAAUUGAGGGCAACCACUGGGCAACAGCCAGAGAGAAAGGAAGUCCAAAUCCCAUUCUGCUGUAAGUAACUGAAUCCAGCCAACAACCAGUGAAUGCACCUGAAAGCUUUCCAACAGCCUUGUAAUGACUACAGUUCCAGCCAACAACAUGAUUUCAGCCUGCGAGAGACUUCAGCAUACCUGGAUUCCUGGACUACAAAAACUAAGCUAAUAAAUGUGUGCCAUUUUGAGCCCUAAGUUUUGGCACAUUUUGUUGGGCUACAUUAGAUAGCAAUAGUAGAUAAUUAAUAGAAGCUUGUUACUUUUUGUCCCUUUACUUUCUACUCCAAUAUUUUGUUGCUAUUGUCUCCUUUCCCAAUCUCUUUAUCCUUGUGGGCUGAUAUAUUUAAUUCCUGUAUUCCUUUUUUUUUUUUUUUUUUUUGAGACGGAGUGUCACUCGGUCGCCCAGGCUGGAGUGCAGUGGCGCAGUCUUGGCUCACUGCAAGCUCUGCCUCCUGCGUUCACGCCAUUCUCCUGCUUCAGCCUCCCGAGUAGCUGGGACUACAGGCACCCGCCACCACGCCUGGCUAAUUUUUUAUAUUUUUAGUAGAGACGGGGUAUCACUGCAUUAGCCAGGAUAGUUUCAAUUUCCUGACCUCAUGAUCUGCCCGCCUUGGCCUCCAAAGUGCUGGGAUUACAGGCAUGAGCCACCACGCCUGGCCUAAUUCCUGUAUUCUUGUUAGGAUUUCAGGAAGGAAAUUUAUGUAUUUGUCAAGCCUGCCAUCUUUUACUGCAAGUCAUCCCAGGUCUUCUGUUAUGGAUAAAAUAUAUGUAUGUCCCCUUCUCCCCCAUUUAUAUGUUGCAGCCCUAACUCCCAAUGUGUUGGUAUUAGAGACUGAGCCUUUGAAAGAUAAUUAGGUUUAGAAGAGCUCAUGAGUAUGGAGCCCCCAUGAUAAGAUUAGUGGCCCUUAAAAGAAGAGGCCGGGUGUGGUGGCUCACACCUAUAAUCCUAGCACUUUGGGAGGCUGAGGUGGGUGGAUCACCUGAGGUCAGGAGUUCAAGACCAGCCUGGCCAACAUGGUGAAAUCCCAUAUCUACUAAAUUACAAAAUUUAGCCAAGCAUGAUGGCAGGUGCCUGUAAUCACAGCUACUCGGGAGGCUGAGAUGGGAGAAUCGCUUGAACCUAGGAGAUGGUGGUUGCAGUGAGCCAGGAUCACACCACUGCACUCCAGCUUGGGUGGCUGGUUGAGUGAGACUCUAUCUCAAAAAAAAAAAAAAAAAGGGAGGAGGAAGAAAUACCAGAGCUUUCUCUCUCCUCCUGCUGAAGAAUGCAACAAGAAGGUGGCCAUCUGCAAGCCAGGAAGAGAGCCCUCAAUAGGAAAACAAUCUUCCUGAACCUUGAUAUUGGACUUUCCAGCCUCCUGGAAUGUGAGAAAUAAAUGUCUCUUUGUAAGCCACCCCAUCUAUAAUAUUUUGUUACAGCAGACUAUGCAGACUAAUACGCCACAAGACUAACACAAUUAAUGGAGACAAAAUUAACAAGCAGUCUGUUUUAAAAUGAGUUAUUCUAAAAUUUUUACACUACAAGUCUAGUCAAGGAGAUCAAGAGAAAUUCUGUUACAAAAUGUUCUUUCAUUUUAAUCACUUGAUCAAUGCAGCAUCAUCAUAGGGCUUUAUUUUCUUCUUAUAGUUUUAGCUAGCAGUGGAAUUUAAAAUGCCCCAGUUUGCCAUCUGCUUCAUUUUCACAGGCAUGAACCACACCAACAAAAAGAAAUGGACUUCAAAUCAUCAGCCUUUUUUUUUUUUAACAGAGAGAAAAGAAAAAGAGAAAAAGAAAUACAUGUCUAGAUUGUGGCUUCUAUUUGAACUACUGUGAGGUUUGGUCCUAAUUUUGAGAAAUCCUCACUUGUAUGAUAUCUAAGCAACUGAAUAUCCCUGUUAUCUCCACAAGUCACAAUUUUUUUGUUGUUAAAUAAUAAGGAACAUCAGAAUUGUGUGAGUAUUCUUUGUAGAUGUGGGGAAAUAAGAUUUAUCUGGAUUUUGCUUUGCUUCUGUAAAAAGCCCUAGCCUCCUGAGACAUGGAAUAUAUACACCAUAAAGCUAGAGAAUUUGCUUUCACUUCCCCUAGAAGAAUUUUACUUUUCACAUACCCUGAGGAUUAGCUCUAUAGCCAUUUGUCUACUUAACUGCUCUAAUCCAAAAGGAUGAUAAAACUUCUCUUAUCUCUACAAGUGGGUCAAAUGGUUAGAGCCCAGAAUAGGCCCCUCAGCUAAGUUCCAAAGUGCCAGGAAGACUCUCUCUGGGUAUUUACAGAAGCCUAGACCUUGGAAACAUCUCCUGGUAAUAACUUCCCCACUCUCUCCAUGACAGAGAUGUUUAUCUGGCCCUUAGAAAGUCAUAUUUACAUUCCAAAUGGUUUAUAAGAACUCAAGAUUCUUCUUAUCCUAUCUCAAAGGAGUAAAAGUUUUUCUCUCUUUUUGGAAGAGGAAGUGGGUGGCUACCUCUUUUCUGUAUACAGAGAAAAUACAUUAUUCUCUAUCACUUUUCUAUGGGGUGAAACUUGCCACCCGCAUAAAAGAUUUCCAUUGAUUCUCAUCACAGGCUUAUGGAUCUGGGUAUGGGAGAAGAUGCUCAUCUUUCUGCAAUUACUAUAUUUUUACUGUACAUUAUAUAUGUUUCAAUACACAAAAACUUACCAUAGUGUUGCAGCUUCCUACAGUAUUCAAUAUAGUAAGAUACUGUAUAGGUUUGUAGUGUAGGAAGAAUAGGCUAUACAAUAUAGCCUAGGUGUGUAACAGGCUAUGCCAUCUAGGUUUGCUUAAGUACACUCUGAUGUUCUGAUGUUCACAUGAUGAUGAAAUCGCCUAAGGAUGCAUUUCUCAGAAUGUAUCCCUGUCGUUAAACGACACGUGAUUGUUAUCUAUUUAUGUACAUCUCACAUAACUUUACAAGUAUACUAAUAUCAUAGUCUUGACAAAACAGUAGGGAACAGCAGAUCUAAAAUCAAACAAGCAAGUUAGAAAGGGAACAUCCACUAGGAAAUGAACACUAUCUUUCAAUAUAUUUCAUCAUAUUUGUCUUAGAGAAAAGCUUCCCCAGAGGUGAGAGAUGCUUAUAGAAUCAUUAAAUUAAAAGAUAUAAUAGGAGAGGAGCAGAGAAAAUGGCCAGAUCCAAGCUGCCACUGAUCAUCCCCAACCACCAACAGGAACACCAAAUUUAGCAUCUACACAAAAAAGUCACCUUUAUAAGAACCAAAAAUCAGGUACCAGUUCGGCCACAGCAGGUAGAGCACUGAGCAGGCUCUUGGGGUCUCCCAUUCCAGGCAUCGGCUCUUAGACGGCAUUUCUGGACCUGCUCUGGGCCAGAGGCAAGCCCACUUUGCUGAAGAGUGAGUCUCAGGCCUGGUAGCAUUCACCAUGAGCUGACCGAAGACCCUUGGGCCUUAAGUGAACAUUGGCAGUAGCCUGGCUGUACUCCCCAUGGGCCUAUGGUGGCAGUAGCCACAGGGAAAGGCUCCUCUGCCUGUGGAAAGGGGAGGGAAGAGUAGGAGGAACUUUGUCUUGUGGUUUGAGUGCCAGCUUAGCUGCAGUAGAACAGAGAACCAGGUAGAUUUCUAAGGUUUUCAUCUCCAGUCCCUGGCACCUGGAUGGCAUCUCUGGACCUGCUCCGGCCUUGGGGGAACUCACUGCACUGAUAAGAAGGACACAAGCCUGGCUGGCCUUGCCACCUGCUGAUUGUAGAGUCCUAGGAUCUUGAGUAAACAUAGGCGG